GUUUUAGUAGUUUAAAUAAAACAUAGGUUUUGUAAACCUAAAAUAAUCUUAAUUCUAAAACU
rnacentral:tRNA from 1 species